UUAUUUAUUUCAAUAAUGACUGAAGAUAUACAUAACCAUUUGGAUGUUAAUCCUUGUUUUUGAUUUAAAUGUUGGGCUUUAAUGUAGGCAACUGAAGUUCAAAUAUCUCCUUAAGUUUAAGAACUCCAUGGUAAUUUUAGAAAAGGCUUCAUUUCUUAG